GAUGAACGCUGGCGGCGUGCCUAAUACAUGCAAGUCGAGCGAACGGACGAGAAGCUUGCUUCUCUGAUGUUAGCGGCGGACGGGUGAGUAACACGUGGAUAACCUACCUAUAAGACUGGGAUAACUUCGGGAAACCGUAGCUAAUACCGGAUAAUAUUUUGAACCGCAUGGUUCAAAAGUGAAAGACGGUCUUGCUGUCACUUAUAGAUGGAUCCGCGCUGCAUUAGCUAGUUGGUAAGGUAACGGCUUACCAAGGCAACGAUGCAUAGCCGACCUGAGAGGGUGAUCGGCCACACUGGAACUGAGACACGGUCCAGACUCCUACGGGGGGCAGCAGUAGGGAAUCUUCCGCAAUGGGCGAAAGCCUGACGGAGCAACGCCGCGUGAGUGAUGAAGGUCUUCGGAUCGUAAAACCCUGUUAUUAGGGAAGAACAUAUGUGUAAGUAACUGUGCACAUCUUGACGGUACCUAAUCAGAAAGCCACGGCUAACUACGUG
rnacentral:rRNA from 1 species